UUCCUCUGAGUCCAAGUACGU
rnacentral:snRNA from 1 species